AGAGUUUGAUCAUGGCUCAGGACGACGCUGGCGGUGUGCUUCACACAUGCAAGUCGAACGAGGUAGCAAUACCUAGUGGCGGACGGGUGAGUAACGCGUGGGAAUCUGCCUUUAGAUGGGGGAUAACGGGUCGAAAGACUCGCUAAUACCGCAUAUGACGAAAGUUGAAAGGAGUAAUCCGUCUAAAGAUGAGCCCGCGUCCGAUUAGCUAGUUGGUAGAGUAAAAGCCUACCAAGGCGACGAUCGGUAGCUGGUCUGAGAGGAUGAUCAGCCACAAUGGGACUGAGACACGGCCCAUACUCCUACGGGAGGCAGCAGUGGGGAAUUUUACGCAAUGGGCAAAAGCCUGACGUAGCGACACCGCGUGAGCGAAGAAGCCCCUUGGGGUGUAAAGCUCUGUCAGCUGGAACGAAAAAAUGACGGUACCAGCAGAGGAAGCAUCGGCUAACUACGUG
rnacentral:rRNA from 1 species